rnacentral:rRNA from 1 species
AGGAAUAUUGGUCAAUGGACGCAAGUCUGAACCAGCCAUGCCGCGUGGAGGAUGAAGGUCCUCUGGAUUGUAAACUUCUUUUAUCUGGGACGAAACACUUCUUUUCUAAGAGGCCUGACGGUACCAGAUGAAUAAGCACCGGCUAACUCCGUGCCAGCAGCCGCGGUAAUACGGAGGGUGCAGGCGUUAUCCGGAUUCACUGGGUCUAAAGGGUGCGUAGGUGGGUAUGUAAGUCAGUGGUGAAAUCCCCGAGCUUAACUUGGGAACUGCCAUUGAUACUAUAUAUCUUGAAUACCGUAGAGGUAAGCGGAAUAUGUCAUGUAGCGGUGAAAUGCUUAGAUAUGACAUAGAACACCAAUUGCGAAGGCAGCUUACUACACAAUCAUUGACACUGAGGCACGAAAGCGUGGGUAGCGAACA